AAUAGAUACCCAGGUAGUCCACGCCGUAAACGAUGUCGACUUGGAGGUUGUUCCCUUGAGGAGUGGCUUCCGGAGCUAACGCGUUAAGUCGACCGCCUGGGGAGUACGGCCGCAAGGUUAAAACUCAAAUGAAUUGACGGGGGCCCGCACAAGCGGUGGAGCAUGUGGUUUAAUUCGAUGCAACGCGAAGAACCUUACCUACUCUUGACAUCCAGAGAACUUAGCAGAGAUGCUUUGGUGCCUUCGGGAACUCUGAGACAGGUGCUGCAUGGCUGUCGUCAGCUCGUGUUGUGAAAUGUUGGGUUAAGUCCCGCAACGAGCGCAACCCUUAUCCUUUGUUGCCAGCGGUUCGGCCGGGAACUCAAAGGAGACUGCCAGUGAUAAACUGGAGGAAGGUGGGGAUGACGUCAAGUCAUCAUGGCCCUUACGAGUAGGGCUACACACGUGCUACAAUGGCGUAUACAAAGAGAAGCGACCUCGCGAGAGCAAGCGGACCUCAUAAAGUACGUCGUAGUCCGGAUUGGAGUCUGCAACUCG
rnacentral:rRNA from 1 species